GAAGGGGGCUAGCGUUGUUCGGAAUUACUGGGCGUAAAGCGCACGUAGGCGGGUAUUUAAGUCAGGGGUGAAAUCCCAGAGCUCAACUCUGGAACUGCCUUUGAUACUGGGUACCUAGAGUAUGGAAGAGGUAAGUGGAAUUCCGAGUGUAGAGGUGAAAUUCGUAGAUAUUCGGAGGAACACCAGUGGCGAAGGCGGCUUACUGGUCCAUUACUGACGCUGANGUGCNAAAGCGUGGGGAGCAAACAGGAUUANAUACCCUGGUAGUCCACGCCNUANACGAUGAAUGUUAGCCGUCGGCNUGCAUGCNUGUCNGUGNCGCANCUAACGCAUUANANAUUCCGCCUGGNNNG
rnacentral:rRNA from 1 species